rnacentral:rRNA from 1 species
UCGGGAAUAUUGGGCAAUGGAGGGAACUCUGACCCAGCCAUGCCGCGUGCAGGAUGAAGGCGUUAUGCGUUGUAAACUGCUUUUAUAUAGGAAGAAAUAGUCCUUGCGAGGAAAGUUGACGGUACUAUAUGAAUAAGCACCGGCUAACUCCGUGCCAGCAGCCGCGGUAAUACGGAGGGUGCAAGCGUUGUCCGGAUUUAUUGGGUUUAAAGGGUGCGUAGGCGGUUUAUUAAGUCAGUGGUGAAAGACGGUCGCUCAACGAUUGCAGUGCCAUUGAUACUGGUAGACUUGAGUAUGAUUGAGGUAGCUGGAAUGGAUAGUGUAGCGGUGAAAUGCAUAGAUAUUAUCCAGAACACCAAUUGCGUAGGCAAGUUACUAAGUCAUAACUGACGCUGAGGCACGAAAGUGUGGGUAUCAAACAGGAUUAGAUACCCCCGUAGUCCCUGAGCGGGCUGGCAAGGCGCAU